UUUUACAAUGGAGAGUUUGAUCCUGGCUCAGGAUGAACGCUAGCUAUAGGCUUAACACAUGCAAGUCGAGGGGAAACGGCAUUAUGUGCUUGCACAUUUUGGACGUCGACCGGCGCACGGGUGAGUAUCGCGUAUCCAACCUGCCCUUUACUUGGGGAUACCCCGUUGAAAGACGGCCUAAUACCCGAUGUAAUUCAUUGAUGGCAUCAGAUAUGAAUAAAAGAUUUAUCGGUAAAGGAUGGGGAUGCGUCUGAUUAGCUUGUUGGUGAGGUAAAGGCUCACCAAGGCAACGAUCAGUAGGGGUUCUGAGAGGAAGGUCCCCCACAUUGGAACUGAGACACGGUCCAAACUCCUACGGGAGGCAGCAGUGAGGAAUAUUGGUCAAUGGGCGCAAGCCUGAACCAGCCAAGUAGCGUGCAGGAAGACGGCCCUAUGGGUUGUAAACUGCUUU
rnacentral:rRNA from 1 species